GCUGCUUUUUUUUAUAAAUGCCGCAACUGUCAUUUUUUUUUUUACCAAAACUCUAUCGUUUUAGUUUCAUCCAAUUUAUUCCAAGUGCUCCCGAUAGCUGUUCUUUUUCCCCUUAACAAAAUUUCCCCAAUUCCUUCUCUUCUCCUUUAAUCCCUAAAUUUUCAUCCCCAAGUUCCCAACCCAUUUGCCACCGAAGACACAAACCGGACCACCUGGUGCAUCGCCCUCGACUAACCCCUCUGCUGCGUCGCUGUCGCUGUUGCCGUUGCCGUCGGUCUCUACUGCCACAGCCAAUCGGCUAUUGCAGCAAUGAUGCGUGCUCAGGAGGCCGAUCCUAUCAAUCUGGAAGUACUUCUUGCUCUUGGUGUGAGUCAUACAAAUGAAUUGGAACAAACUGUUGCUUUAAAGUAUCUGUAUGGAUGGUUACGUCAUCACUCAAAGUAUGGUACUCUUGCACCACCGGAGCUUGCUAAUUCCUUGUAUUAUGCAUAUGCACUAAAUUUGAAGCCAAACUAUGUGCGUGCUUGGGCAAACAUGGGUAUCAGUUACGCCAACCAGUGUUUCCAGGUUAGCUCAGGUUGGAGUUCGUCGGAGAUAUUAUCACACUGUCAAGCUAUUGCUAUUGGUGUUAGCUCGGGUUGGAGUUUGUCGGAGAUAUUAUCACACUGUCAAGCUAUCGCUAUUGGUUUGGUUGAGUUUACGUCCGGUAACACCUCGAACCCUAUCCCGACAUUGGAUACGGGGGAUCGGUGUUACAGUUAGUGGUAGUCGAGGUACUACAAGGGAUUCAACAGUUAAAUCUAAAGCAUGAGCACCGGUAAGGACUUGUGCUAUUCGUACUAAAGAAUAUGCUUCUGCACAAGACGUCAAUACUGAGGAAUUACAUGGUUUACCACCGGUUAGAGAAGUGGAGUUCUCUAUAGCCAUUGUUUCGGGGAAAGCACUGAUAUUCAUAGCACCUUACAGAAUGGCUCUUACCGAACUGAAAUAGUUCACAGCACAGUUGCAAGAAUUGAUUGACAGAGGCUUUGCUCGACCUAGUUUCUCACCUUGGGGUGCACCAGUUUUGUUUGUAAAGAAGAAAGAUGGAUCAUUGAGGUUGUGUAUUGAUUAUAGACAACUUAACAUAGUUACAAUUAAUAACAAGUAUCCACUGCCUCGAAUUGAUGAUCUAUUUGACCAGUUGAAAUGUUUCAUUGUAUUUUCGAAGAUUGAUUUUCAUUUCGAUUACUAUUAGUUACGGGUAAAAGAGUCAGAUGUUCCAAAGACAGCUUUCAAAACCAGGUAUGGGCACUAUGAGUUUCUUGUAAUGUUUUUUGGCUUAACAAAGGCACUUGUAGUAUUCAUGGAUUUGAUGAGUAGAAUUUUCAAACUGUAUCUAAAUAA